UGGUGUACAGGGGUGUCUGAAGAGACCUAUGCAGGGAAUGCAGCCAGUGAACCCACCUGCUCCUCACAGGCUCACAGCUGGCAUUUUAAUAGCCACCUGGAGCACAGCACUGUCAAGGCAGGAUUUGGGACAGGGAGUAGAGUGCCUCAUAGGACCUAGAGGAAGGGAGCCGGGAACAUGGGACAGCAUACUGCUCUAUGAGCCUCUGCCACCACUAGGAUCUUCUGCAUUUAGGAAGGGUAUACUUAUAUAUGGGGUUACACAUAUGCAUAUGGGUACAUUUUAUACAUAUGUUUAUGUUUGUGGAAGCCAGUGGUUAACUUUGGUUGUCAUUCCUCUGGAGCAAAUCUUCCUUGGCUUUAUUUUUCUGGCUGUAUAGUCCUGGCAGACCUGAAACUCACUAUGCAGACCAGGCUGGCCUCCAACAGAGAUCUACCUCCUCCGCAUUGGGAUCAAAGGCAUGUGCUAUCACAUCUGGCUCAUCCACCUUGCUUUUUGGGACAGGGUCUCUCAUUGGGGCAACUUAGACCAGGCUGGCUGGCCAUUGAGCCUCAGGGAUCUGCCGCUUUUGGCCUCCAAGGCAUUGGGAAUACAAGUACACGCCCCUGAGCUGGGCUUUUUACCUGGGGAUCAAACUUGGAUCCUCAUGCUUGUGCAAUAGGCACUUUGCUGACUAAGAUGUCUCCCGGACCCUCAUGAAGGAGUUUUGACUUACCAGACUUUAAAUUAAAGCUUGGCUUCGUGCUCAGCUCAGACAUCAUUGAGUCUGUCAGGUGGGUGGGAGAGUGUGUAACAUAUCCCUGAAAAGCAGUUCCUAAGGAAGUUGGGAGGCAGGUCCAUGGGCAGGAAGCUGUCCUAUCCUGAAGCAGAUAUAGCCAUGGCUGCCCUGUGUAUGUUUGCAGAUUCUAAAGGCUGAUGAGAAAGAGUUGGAGCAGAGCAGGGAGAGUGAUCAGAAUAGGAAGAACCAGAGACUCCUCCUCGGCUUCUCCUCCUGAGGUGACAAUGACAGUGGUAGCAUCCCUUCCCACAGCCCAGUCAGAGGUGGUUGUGCGCCCAGACAUAACCACCUCAUCACUGUCAAACCUUUUAGAAAUGUCUGAGGAGAUGAAUGGCUUUUCUCCUUUGUGAAAUUCUUGGCCUGUGGGGAAAGCUCUUGGCACUGAAGAUUAAAACUAGUGGUGGGCAUACUGGAGUCGCAGAGGGGUCAGUUCAGUUGACUAAACCCCCACUGUGCUCUGGUUCUAGGGCGAGGCGAGGGAUAAGAUCAUGGCAGCCCUGAAUAAGAGGUACAGUGUACUUAGUUCACGGUUGAUAGGGAGAGGUGAUUCUUUAAUGAUGUAGCCACUGGUAAACCCACCCAGGCUCAUGAAAACAACCCUCAUGAAUCUCACUGGGAUACACACACACACACACACACACACACACACACACACACACAAACACACGAGAGGCAUUAGUUGGAAAGAGGAAGGGGAUUAGUGAAAGAGUGGAGAAGGAUUAAUGGGUAGGAAUAUGAUUGAAAUACAUAAUGUUCAUGUCUGAAAAUGUCAUAAUGAAACCCUUUAUUAAAUAUAAUUAAUAUAUGCUAAUAAAAACAUAUUUG
rnacentral:lncRNA from 1 species